CAAUCUCGGACUCGAACUUUUGAGGUCAAAAUGGACAUUUAUCAAGUGUUAUCGACUGAGAACACUCGACUAUUGUCGAUAAAAACCUCAAAUUUUCCCCUAAUCUCGGACAUGCUUAGCUUUUUGUACCCGUAGGGUUCUUCAGCUGAUUUAAGGUUUGACCAAUUCAGGCUUGAUUCGAAGGAAACUUGGGGUGGCCAGGGUGGCCAGGGAACAGGGGCAAUUUGUCAAACAUUGUAAAGAAGCUAACAAAAACUAAAAAAAUAACAGAUACUAACAACAUAAAAAUAGAACAAAAUGAAGAUGGGAAGAAUACCUCAGAGAAUCAGCAAUCUUACGGACUUGACCAAUCUCGGACUCGAACUUUUGAGGUCAAAAUUUACUUUAAUCAAGUGUUCUUGACUAAAGUUUAUAAAAACCUCAAGUUUUCCCCUAAUCUCGGACAUUCUUAGCUUUUUGUACUGCGAGGGUUCUUCAACUGACUUGAGGUUUGACCAAUUCCGGCUUGAUUCGAAGGAAACUGGGGGUGGCUUGGGAACGGGGGAGGUCAAGUGGUCACAAGGUGUAAGUUUGGGACUGUUUAUGCUUGGCGCCGCCACCAAGGAAUUUGGGGAGGCGCUAGGGUUCAUGUGGUCCAAAUUGAUAUUUGACGAGUCCUGGGUUGAUUCGACAAAAAAAAGGUUUCCUAGUGGUGAGGGAGAUCUCGGGGUCAAGGGGUGUGAGUUUGGUGGUAAACGGAGGAGGAUAGGGUUUCGCUCGAUUCUUCGAUUGAAGAUUCGAGACGAUCUACGGGUAUUCGAGGUUAGCUGUUCUAGGGGUUGGGACUGGGAAUUCAUGGGGGUUUGAUGGUGUAAAGAUGAGGGCAUUUGGUCCACCGAAACUGCGGUGAGGCUAUUUUCGCUGGGCGGAGGGCGGUGGUUUGUGGCGGCGUUACUAGGGUCGUCUCUGAGCUUAGAGACGAAGGGGUGAAGGGGUCUGAUUUGGUUUGGCGGGGGGUAGGGUAAAUGGGUUUUGGUAUAUUAAAA
rnacentral:lncRNA from 1 species